UACGUAGGGAGCAAGCGUUGUCCGGAAUCAUUGGGCGUAAAGCGCGCGUAGGUGGCUUCAUAAGUCCGUUGUGAAAGUCAAAGGCUCAACCUUUGAAAGCCGAUGGAUACUGUGGAGCUAGAGUACGGAAGAGGCGAGUGGAAUUCCUGGUGUAGCGGUGGAAUGCGCAGAUAUCAGGAGGAACACCAUAGCGAAGGCAGCUCGCUGGGACGUUACUGACACUGAGGCGCGAAAGCGUGGGGAGCGAACAGG
rnacentral:rRNA from 1 species